rnacentral:rRNA from 1 species
AAAUUGAAGAGUUUGAUCAUGGCUCAGAUUGAACGCUGGCGGCAGGCCUAACACAUGCAAGUCGAACGGUAACAGAAAGCAGCUUGCUGCUUCGCUGACGAGUGGCGGACGGGUGAGUAAUGUCUGGGAAACUGCCUGAUGGAGGGGGAUAACUACUGGAAACGGUAGCUAAUACCGCAUAACGUCGCAAGACCAAAGAGGGGGACCUUCGGGCCUCUUGCCAUCGGAUGUGCCCAGAUGGGAUUAGCUUGUUGGUGGGGUAACGGCUCACCAAGGCGACGAUCCCUAGCUGGUCUGAGAGGAUGACCA